UACGUAGGCAGCAAGCGUUGUUCGGAGUUACUGGGCGUAAAGAGUGCGCAGGUGGUGCUCUAAGUUUGGUGUGAAAUCUCCCGGCUCAACUGGGAGGGAGCGCCGAAAACUGGGGUGCUGGAGUGUGGGAGAGGAAAGCGGAAUUCCUGGUGUAGCGGUGAAAUGCGUAGAUAUCAGGAGGAACACCUGCGGUGUAGACGGCUUUCUGGACCACUACUGACACUGAGGUGCGAAAGCGUGGGGAGCAAAC
rnacentral:rRNA from 1 species